GUCCGGCGAGUUACUUUGAACAAAUCAGAGUGCUCAAGACAGGCUCAAUGCCUGAAUGCUCGUGCAUGGAAUAAUAGAAAAGGAUCCCGGUCCGAUUUUAUUGGUUUUGCGGCCGAGAUAAUAAUCAAUAGGGGCGGACGGGGGCAUUCGUACUUCUGCGUGAGAGGUGAAAUUUUUGGACCGCAGGAAGACGCACGACAGCGAAGGCAGUUGUCAAGCACGUCCCCGUUAAUCAAGAACGAAAGUCAGAGGAUCAAAGGCGAUUAGAUACCGCCGUAGUUCUGACCGUAAACGAUGCCAACUAGCGAUCCGUCGGUUGCCUCUUGGUUCCGAUGGGGAGCUUCCCGGAAACGAAAGUCUUCCGGUUCCGGGGGAAGUAUGGUUGCAAAGCUGAAACUUAAAGGAAUUGACGGAAGGGCACCACCAGGAGUGGAGCCUGCGGCUUAAUUUGACUCAACACGGGGAACCUCACCCGGGCACGACACCGUCGAGAUUGACAAACUGCAGACUUUUCAUGAUUCGGUGAAUGGUGGUGCAUGGCCGUUCUUAGUUCGUGGAGUGAUCAGUCAUGUUUAUUCCGGUAACGAGCGAGACUCUUGCCUGCUAAUUAGUACUGGUGUUUUACCGCAUCAGCGACUUCUUAGAGGGAUCUACGGCGAACAAUAGCCGAAAGAGAUAGAGCGAUAACAGGUCUGUGAUGCCCCUUGAUGCCCGGGGCUGCACGCGCGCUACACUGGCAAAGGCAACGUGUUUGUCCUGCCCCGAGAGCGCGUGGGUAAUCCGCUGAAACUUUGCCGUGACGGAUCGGAGAUUGCAAUUAUUUUCCGUGAACGAGGAAUUCCAAGUAAGUGCGAGUCACCAACUCGCGUUGAUUACGUCCCUGCCCUUUGUACACACCGCCCGUCGCUGCCCGGGACUGAGCCAUUUCGAGAAGUAUGAGGAUCGGCGA
rnacentral:rRNA from 1 species